rnacentral:rRNA from 1 species
GAUGAACGCUAGCUACAGGCUUAACACAUGCAAGUCGAGGGGUAACGAGAGGAAAGCUUGCUUUCCUUGUCGACGACCGGCGCACGGGUGAGUAACGCGUAUCCAACCUGCCCCCAACUAGGGAAUAACCUUGCGAAAGAAAGACUAAUACCCUAUAAUUUCCUCAGAUGACAUCUGACGAGGAAUAAAGAUUUAUCGGUUGUGGAUGGGGAUGCGUCUGAUUAGCUUGUUGGCGGGGUAACGGCCCACCAAGGCAACGAUCAGUAGGGGUUCUGAGAGGAAGGUCCCCCACAUUGGAACUGAGACACGGUCCAAACUCCUACGGGAGGCAGCAGUGAGGAAUAUUGGUCAAUGGGCGGAAGCCUGAACCAGCCAAGUAGCGUGCAGGAUGACGGCCCUAUGGGUUGUAAACUGCUUUUAUACAGGAAUAAAGUUAGCCACGUGUGGUUAUUUGUAGGUACUGUAUGAGUAAGGACCGGCUAAUUCCGUGCCAGCAGCCGCAGUAA